rnacentral:rRNA from 1 species
GACGAACGCUGGCGGCGUGCUUAACACAUGCAAGUCGAACGGAAAGGCCCUGCUUUUGUGGGGUGCUCGAGUGGCGAACGGGUGAGUAACACGUGAGUAACCUGCCCUUGACUUUGGGAUAACUUCAGGAAACUGGGGCUAAUACCGGAUAGGAGCUCCUGCUGCAUGGUGGGGGUUGGAAAGUUUCGGCGGUUGGGGAUGGACUCGCGGCUUAUCAGCUUGUUGGUGGGGUAGUGGCUUACCAAGGCUUUGACGGGUAGCCGGCCUGAGAGGGUGACCGGCCACAUUGGAACUGAGAGACGGCCCAGACUCCUACGGGAGGCAGCAGUGGGGAAUAUUGCACAAUGGGCGGAAGCCUGAUGCAGCAACGCCGCGUGCGGGAUGACGGCCUUCGGGUUGUAAACCGCUUUCGCCUGUGACGAAGCGUGAGUGACGGUAAUGGGUAAAGAAGCACCGGCUAACUACGUG